rnacentral:sRNA from 1 species
GAAAGACGCGCAUUUGUUAUCAUCAUCCCUGACAACUCGGAGAUGUAAUUUGGCCACAGUGAUGUGGCCUUUU